AGAGUUUGAUCCUGGCUCAGGAUGAACGCUGGCGGCGUGCUUAACACAUGCAAGUCGAACGAAGCACCUUGAUUUGAUUCUUCGGAUGAAGAUCUUGGUGACUGAGUGGCGGACGGGUGAGUAACGCGUGGGUAACCUGCCUCAUACAGGGGGAUAACAGUUAGAAAUGACUGCUAAUACCGCAUAAGACCACAGCACCGCAUGGUGCAGGGGUAAAAACUCCGGUGGUAUGAGAUGGACCCGCGUCUGAUUAGGUAGUUGGUGGGGUAACGGCCUACCAAGCCGACGAUCAGUAGCCGACCUGAGAGGGUGACCGGCCACAUUGGGACUGAGACACGGCCCAAACUCCUACGGGAGGCAGCAGUGGGGAAUAUUGCACAAUGGGGGAAACCCUGAUGCAGCGACGCCGCGUGAGCGAUGAAGUAUUUCGGUAUGUAAAGCUCUAUCAGCAGGGAAGAAAAUGACGGUACCUGACUAAGAAGCACCGGCUAAAUACGUGCCAGCAGCCGCGGUAAUACGUAUGGUGCAAGCGUUAUCCGGAUUUACUGGGUGUAAAGGGAGCGUAGACGGAGUGGCAAGUCUGAUGUGAAAACCCGGGGCUCAACCCCGGGACUGCAUUGGAAACUGUCAAUCUAGAGUACCGGAGAGGUAAGCGGAAUUCCUAGUGUAGCGGUGAAAUGCGUAGAUAUUAGGAGGAACACCAGUGGCGAAGGCGGCUUACUGGACGGUAACUGACGUUGAGGCUCGAAAGCGUGGGGAGCAAACAGGAUUAGAUACCCUGGUAGUCCACGCCGUAAACGAUGACUACUAGGUGUCGGGCAGCAAAGCUGUUCGGUGCCGCAGCAAACGCAAUAAGUAGUCCACCUGGGGAGUACGUUCGCAAGAAUGAAACUCAAAGGAAUUGACGGGGACCCGCGCAAGCGGUGGAGCAUGUGGUUUAAUUCGAAGCAACGCGAAGAACCUUACCUGCUCUUGACAUCUCCCUGACCGGCAAGUAAUGUUGCCUUUCCUUCGGGACAGGGAUGACAGGUGGUGCAUGGUUGUCGUCAGCUCGUGUCGUGAGAUGUUGGGUUAAGUCCCGCAACGAGCGCAACCCUUAUCAUUAGUUGCUACGCAAGAGCACUCUAAUGAGACUGCCGUUGACAAAACGGAGGAAGGUGGGGAUGACGUCAAAUCAUCAUGCCCCUUAUGACCUGGGCUACACACGUACUACAAUGGCGAUCGAACAGAGGGAAGCAAGACAGCGAUGUGGAGCCAAUCCCAAAAAAUCGCCCCAGUUCAGAUUGCAGGCUGCAACUCGCCUGCAUGAAGUCGGAAUUGCUAGUAAUCGCAGAUCAGCAUGCUGCGGUGAAUACGUUCCCGGGCCUUGCACACACCGCCCGUCA
rnacentral:rRNA from 1 species